rnacentral:lncRNA from 1 species
AUUCCUUAUUAGAUAGUAGAUAAUAACUAUAUAUAUAGAAAAAUAAAAAUGAGAAGCAAUUAGGUGAGUGACACACCAUGAGGACCCAUAUCUCGUCCAAUGAGAGGUUAUCACACGGCACGUCACUCUCCUAAUCAAGCCCCACUAAAAAUAUAGGAAUCCAAUAAUGGCUCUACACACACAUAUAAGAGUACAUUUUUUUUAAAAUUAAAAUAAUGCCACAUGUCAUGACAUAAGAUGACAUUAUAAGCAAACUCAUAGUCUUAUACCUUAACAUAACAUAACAAUAAUAAAUCCAAUAUUGUACAUUGUUGUGCUGACAACCACACAAAACCCUAGGCCUUAGUGCUACUCUUCAUCUUCAUUUCUAAGUGUUGCUAUUGUCAUUGCUCUUCGUCGUUAUCUUCAAGUACCGCUAGUCUGUCAAUUUCACUGAGCGCUUGUUUGGCUGUUUCGCUGCUUCUUCCACCUUCAUAUAUCAUCGAUAGGGAUGAUAAAAAGACCCAACUUAACCCUUGACUUGAAUGACCCAGCUCUAAUUUUUAGGGUUUCAGCUAAAAUUUAAGUGGCCAAGAAUUACGCUAAAACUCAAGAAAUUAGGGCUUGAUUACAUUUAGAUUAAGGUUAGAGCCUUACCAUAAAGCCCUAACUCAAUCAUUGACUCUUAAAUUAAUUUUUUUCCAAAUAACACUCAAAAGCUAAAAUACACACACCACAAGUGAUCACAACUUACUCCACUCACAAAUCUAACAUAAAGACUAAAGAGAAGAUAACUUAAGAAAGAUUGAAACAGAGAGGCUUGACUCUUGAGCCACAUGCCCACACCAAAUUGGCCACCAAAAUAAUUGUUGUCAUGCACCUUUACAGCCGUGCAACGCCAUUGCCAUCAACUUUGGUCAAGCUAUUGUUAGCUUGGUUAAUCUAUUAAUUUGGUUAAAUUGUUACAUGUUGUAUUGUUUUAGCUAAACAAACAAUAAUUUAUUAAAUUUCUUACAACCAAAUUCAACAUAAAAAAUGAACAAUAAUAAUAUAAUA